rnacentral:lncRNA from 1 species
UAGGAAGCCACUCCAAAACUUGGGUAGAUAGAUAAAGAGAGAAAGAAAGUGGUUGAUGUAGAGUAUGGUCGAUUCUAAAGACCGAUACUCCACCGAGAAGCCAAGUUCUGUCCAAUUGAUGAUUCUCUACGAUUGUCACGCGGAAACUCUGUCCAAAUGAAUUCGUCCAGGCCAGCCAGUUCCUUUGAUGAUCAAGUGGAGGUGCUGUCCAGAGUUAGUUCAGUUCCACGGGUUCAGUCGAAGUUCU